AUGUAAAUAAAAGUAUCAAAUAAAGGAAAAGACAAAAAAUGACACAAACAGAUCCAUCUACCUCAAAGUUCUUAGGAGGCCUUUGCAAUCCCAAGAAAAUGCAAAUCACAGUCUAAAUCCUUCCUUGUAGUCUUCUUAAUUUAAUUCAAUUAAUAAACACACAAAAAUUGUUUAUAUGGUUUAGAAGUCACAAUUCCAUGAACACACUCAGACAACUCCUUAUCUAUCCUUACCUUCUAAGCCUGUGCCCUGGACUCCUGUUGCUAAUCACAGUCCUUGUUUGCUGAGAGCCUCUGAGUACCUCAAUAGUAAAGCCUACAGUCUCUCGUUACUUUUAAGACACAUUUUUGGAAGUAUGCUGAGACCAGAAAACAUUUUAUUUAUCAUUAAAAUGGCAGUUUCUAUCAUGAGUUCUAUACGCACUGGAGCCCUUUAUAUGUUUUGUAGUUCGUUGAAUGGAAACAUGCAAGGACUACUAUCUCCGUGGGCAAAAGCAUACCCAUUUUAGUUGGCUGGAUUUUUCUUAAGUGUCUAUUAUACCCAAGACAUCGCAAAGCCUGUCUAGAAAGGGAUUUACAGAGAAAGCCUUUAAAAUUGUGCUUAGUAACAGUGGGCUUUGCUCUGUCAAGAGUGAGUCUGAACUUAGGAUGAGAUUUUAGAGAACCCAGACCUGCAUCCUUAGCAGUAGGAGUCAUUUGACUAUUAGGCAGCCCUAAGUAUUUUUGAACAUCAGAUAAUCUGUGAAGAGGCAUUCUAUAAUCCCAGACGCCAAAAAAGUUUCCCAGAAUUGUCUCUAGAUGGCUUCCAAUUUAAUUUAAUUAUUUUAAUUUAAUUCUCUUAAAACUGCUAUCAGAAAGAAGAUUGGGGCAAAGAAUAAGAUACUAAAAAAAGAAACUGAGAAGUAGAUGGAACGAAAUCAUCAAGGUCAAGUUCAAGGACUCUGGGACCUACUGUGAUCUCUUUCAGACGGUACUCACUGGCUUACUGGGUUUCCACCACUCGGCACCACUGAGGCCAGUCUUGGACUCCCCAAGGCUAACUAAAAUCUGUGUAAGAGCAAGAGUCUGGCGGAACAGACAUGGUUGAAGAAAAGAGCAAUAAGACUGGCCGAAACUGUCUGAUGACUGUUUGAAAGUCAACAUUUCCUUGGAUACCAUAGGAUGGUUAAUUCUGACAUCAGUAGAAAAUAAUGUGCUACUCCUGGAAAGCACCAACUCCUAUGGUGGAAAAUGGGGAAAUAACUAGCAACAUGAACGCUGUCUUCCUGACCAUCUUUAGGUGUAGGAGAAAUCAGAGUUGGAAAAUUAUAUGGGAUGGUGGAUACAAUCAUAACCAUUCUCUCUGUGUCUCUCUGUCUCAUCUCUCAUCUCUCUCCUCCUACCCCUCCUCUUCCUACCCACCUCCUCUCACCAUCCUUACAUCAUCUUUGUUACAAACUUCCAGCAAUAUUCUUCCCAUAAGAAGGGCAGUCAAAGUUAAAUAAGACAAGUCAACAAUUUGAAUAUAUGUCCACAAAAUUAUAUCUUUGUUGAGGUGCUGCUGCUAAUCUCUGUGCUGAUAAAAAGAAAACAAACCCAAGUCUAGAACAUUCCCAUCUUACUUUUGGAGGCAUCACCUGGGAGAACUUAUUAUAUAGAUUCUGGUUCAGGAUAUUUGGGAAGAGACAAGGACUGUCUAAUUAAAGCAAGCCGCCUGAUGAUACUGGCACUACUAAUGCCAAGACCACAUACAAUGACAAUAGCCAACAUGACCUCUGUGCUUCUUUCAAACAUUAUUCAAAGUCAAGUCAAUUGUUUGUCCAUAGCUAUCUGGUUUGAAUAAAGGUGUGCAUGUAUUGAAUACAAUAUGAAGCUAACAUUUUUAUGAAAUUGCGUCUUAAGGAAAAGGCAAUUUUUUAAAAUCAUUUUUCUGAUUAUAGCAAUGGCUUUUUCCAUGUAGACAGCCUAUAUUUGAAUAAGCAGAUUAUUAAAAAUAAACAAGGGGUGAGAUAAGAACUACAAAAUAAAGCAAUGUUCUGUUCAUGAAUAUUAAAAUAAAGACCCUCCCAGAAGAGAAACCAUUAUUUCUUCUGGAGGUCACAUACAUAUUGGGAUAUAUUUUGCUAGAUUUUUUACAUCAUUCACUGAACUUUACUUCCCUUGAUUAUGAUUUCAUGCCUUCAUCUUGGGGGCAGCCUUCAUUUACAAGGUCGACAAGGCCACUCGGUUCCAACUACCGACAUAGUACUUAAGCAACAACAGCAGCAAAAACCUUAAAAUCAGCUAUUUAAAGAAAAGUCAAAGCGCCCACCCUUCUUUUUUAUAAAACAGAAUUGUCCUGACAGGGCUUUCCUGUUUUCUUGAGUCAAUAGUCUCAAAUGGCUUAAAAAUAGAUGAUGGUUUUACAUUUAUCAUUUGAACAAACAUGGGAAAUACAAAAACAAUCCUCAUGGAAUUCCCGGUGUAACUUUCCCAUCCCUGCAGUUGGUACCACAGUUCUUUGGGAAUUGCAGAUUCCAUAAAUGAACACAUCAGUAACAUCUUGGCAUCUCGCCUCCUAAGGCACGGUGUCAUUUGAGGGCAAUCUCACUUGGAGGGCACACUCGUGAUUUCAGAAACUCUGCUAGAAAGCCUGGGGAUGCUGGGAGCUCAAUAACCUUUCUCUUCUGGGAGUACGGAAUGAGCUUAAGACACCACUAGAAUUUCAUUCUAUAUUCAAACCAUUUUUUCCUGCUCUCUGCUAUGCUCUAGGUAGAGCUAGGCUGCUAGGGGUUAAGGGAUAAACCAGUUUCCAGAAAAGAAGGUAUGGAGAACAACAUUUGUUAGUUACUUGUCUUUUUGGUUCAACAAAAUACCUGAUAAAAAUCAUGAGGAGAAAAAGAUAUAGUCUAUCAUGGUGGGAAAUUCAUAGUUGCAGAGGGGAGGGAUAGACCCUGUUCAUCUCCACCCAUGAAGAGAGAGCAAGGAAUGCCUGUGUUGAGCUCACUUUUUCCUCUGUACUCAGACGGAGUCUUUAACCCAUGAGCUCUUGCCACCCAGAGUUAAGGAGGGCUGUUCUAUCUUAACCAACAUACUCUGCACAAUCCUUCACAAGUAUGUUCAGAAAUCUUUGUAUGGUGAUUCUAAAUCCCAUCAAGUUUACAAUCUAGAUUUAACCAAGGCAUCAGUGAAUUACACAAUUUGGAGGUGUGUGCCAUAAUUUCAGGUAAAUGACUAAUUACCUUCAGGACAUUGGGGCAAUCUAUACAGUCUGACAAGCAACCCUAAGUUAUCCUAUAUGUAAGCAGAAGACUGAACUGGGUUCCUCAGGGCUGCUCUGGUGUUGACCCUCAAAAACGAAAAGCACUAAUUGCAUGAUGAUUUCGUGGUACUCCAUAGAGGGUGUCACUGUGUGAGCACAGAGGCUGCAGGAUGUGUACCAAAGGCUCCAUGGAGAAAAACUGGGAUGCGAAGUUAGAGAAAGGAAGUUCUCACUUCACACUUACUUAGGGACCAUUCCUUCAUUAGCCAGCAUCAUCUGAAGACUCUAAGCCUCUGGCAGUCCCCAUACUCAGCACCUGACAGGUGAGAAAGAGACUCUUGUGCCAUUGUGCAAUUUAGAGUCUCCUGGGAGAGAUAGGUAACAAAUAAGUAAAAAUGAAAAACACAAGAUAAUUGCAGAUUGUUAUAAGUGACAUCGAGGAAAUAAACAAGGGAUGAAGUCUCCAAGCAGCUUUUCCAGGAGGAGAAAAGAAGCUGACUUUAGAAGGACCUGACAAGGAGGAAAACACAUGAGGUAAGGAUGCAGAGAAGUAAGAUGAGCAAGAGGGAGAAUGCAUGAGGAGAAUUAGGACAAGUCUAAGAAGGCCUCAGCAGACACAGUGAGAAGCUGCUUUCUAAACACAAGGGGGAUUUGCAUCUAGGAAGCAACAGGAUCCAGUUAUAGCCAAAGCCUGCAGCUUUUGUGUGGGCAAAGAAGAAUGAAGGGAGUCACUGUGAGCUCCUGAAAUUUUGCUCAUUUGUUUCUUUACAAUCAUUUAGAGCCAGUUGAAGUCAGAAUUUCUGUGCACAGAUUUUCUGAAUCUAUCCCAAGAGGAGAGUAAAGAAGCUCUAAGGACAGAGCUGUAUUUUGGAAACAAGCACUUUCACUUUCACAGAGUAGGACUUGUUCCACUGCCCCAAAAUGAAAUGUCCAUUCUGCUUAUUCUCUCAGACCUGGAGUCCCCCUUUUCUCCAGGAUUGAGGAGUCUACUGAGAAGGAAUGGCAUCCCCAAAGUAAUGUUUGGACCUGACUAAGUGGACUCAUUGAAUUCCUAUUGACACUAAAUUGAUCUCUGUGAAAAGUUGAAUGCAAGGAUUUCUGUUGCUCCAAAGGCUGGCCAAAACAUCAACUAACAGAGCAACCAGACAAGACAUUCUAAUUCCAUCAAAGCCGCUUCUGUUUCCUGAGAGAGGCAGAAGGCAUGACUCAGAAGCUCAAGGCCAAGCCCAAGACUCCACCCAGAGAAGCAGAUGAGAGGACAUCAACUCUUGUGAAGUUUGUGGGAGGAUUCAUAAAAUACUGAACAAAAAUGUCGUGAAUUUGUCAAGUUUCUUUUCUCUCCAACUCUUGCUGGCUGCAACACUGGAAAAAAUUGGACUCCAUAUUUCAUCAUGCCAGGCAAUGAAGUAGAGUUGGUUCUGGUGGCAGAAAAUCCAGGUGAGCUGGCCCAAAGGCUAGAGCAUGGGAGCGCUGCCCUCUCCACACAUCCUGCAGUGGCAUGGGAUGCUGUCUCCCACUCACCCCACCCCUGCCACCUUCGACAGGCUGGUCAACUGGCCCACAGCGCAGGAGAGCUGUCCCUGCCCUUCACCUGGGCAAAAUGUGAUAGCUGGCCCUGGUGGUACUGACAGAAAAAAAAAAACUAGUGGGCUAACUAAUGAAGUGUCCACCCAAGCCCAGAUCUAGGGCUAUUAGCCCUCCCCAACAUCUACCCCAUGUAUGAACUGCUGUAGCAUAUGAAGGUACCAGUCCUGCAUAUCCAAACCUGCAAGUUCUCCAUGACACUGGGCAAUAACAGGUUAUGGGAAGGAGUCCGGUGAAGAUCCAGAAUUGAUAGGGAGCAGAGGUCAGAGGUCUCAAAUCAGACCAAUGACUCAUUGCAAUGAGCAUUUGUAAGAAAAUCUGUUUGGGCAGAAGGGCGUAUACUGUGUGAUAUAGGGUAAUACAUCACAGCUUCCUUUGUUUUGUUUGUUUGUUUUACUUUUUAAUUUUCUUUAGGGGGAAGGUUACAAGGGUGGAUCACAGAUAAGAGGGAAUGAGGAAGAAGGUGAAUGGAGUUGGGGUGCCUAAUAUGAAAAUCACAAAAAAUCAAUACAAAGUUUAAAAAAAAAGAUUUAUUUUUUUCUGCUUGCCCUCACCUUUUCUCAUAAUUUUCUUUACUUUUUCAGUAACUUCAGAAUACACUCAGAUUCUUCACUUGUAGUAAUGCUGUUAGUGGUGACAAAGAAACUUCACAGGACAAGGUUUGGGUAGCAAGAAAAUAAACAUGCAAACUAAACGACAGCACAAGAGUAACAGAAGUACAUGUAUUUCUUAGAAUUUCCUAAAGAACUUUUUUUUUUUGCACCAGACCCGAAGGAGUUAUUUUCCCCUCGUUACAAAGGGUGGAGAGUAGAGAAAAAUUGUAAUUUGAAGUCUGAGUACAUGAGUUGUCAAAAUAGGCUGUGACAUGCUUACCUGAGUCCCUUUGGGUCAUUCAUUUAAUAUUUCUGAUGACAGUAUUCCUAUCUAUAAAAAUUGGAAUUAUGAUAAUAUCCACCUCCACUUGUGGUUGGGAAAAUCCAAAGUGAUGAUACAUGAUACAGUUUUUACUGAUAAUCACUUACUGACAUAGGAGAAUCACUGGGCCACAGCAGGCAUGUAGAAGAAGGAAUGGGAGGCAAAGGGCUUCCCAGGGGCCCAUCAAAUCACAUAAGUAGGCCAUAUUUUCAUGAUGCCAGUUUAAUGGGCAGCCCUAAUUGAAUACCUGAGAACAUGUUAAAAUAAACAUUAUAAUUAGAACCCAUUGAUUUAUACAGGUGAAUUUAUUUUAAUCAAUCAUCCAGGAGUUUCAGAGUAAUUUGAUGCGUUUCUUUAUCUUAUAUGUAUGUUCCCCGAGUUGCCUCAAGGCCCUGUAGCUUCAGUGAAACAAAAAUAAACCACUGAGCAUAAAUUAUCAAGUCUGUUCAUUGUUCAGCUAUAGUGCAGUCAUUUUCCUAUUAAUUUUUUUCUAGAAGCAGGUAAGAAGUAGUUACCAAACCCAAGGAGAAGAGGGAUAUGCUCAGGGUAUAAAAUAUGCAGCUGGUUGGAGCUCCAAGGGACUCAGUAUAGUCGACUCAUGAGCCAAGAGAGUCAAGUGACUUCAUUCCGGAGAAUUAAAUAUGUCUUGGCACUCUGGAAAGACAUAAGAGUUGACUUAUGGUGUCCUGGCUCCAGAGGAACAUGGUGGUUUUGUUCUGGUUCCCACUAGGAAUCAACUUAUGCUUUCAAGAAGAAAAGUUCCUCUGGUAGUGUCCUGCUUCAUGUGGGUUCAAUUCCCAGAAUUUGUGGAGAGAAGAAAGAGUUGCUGGGUGUGGUCAGGUUCAGUACAAGCUGUUGCGGUGACAAGAUUCUGAAGAAAAAAAUGUACUUUGAAUGUGAAAUGUCCCCCAUAGGUUCAUGUGUUUAAACCCUUGUUGCACAGUUGGUGAUGCUGUUUGGAAUGUUCUAGAAACUUGCUGGGUAUGGGGUAAUGAAGGAAGACGAUGUAAUUUUAUAGACCACCUCACUUCUAAUUUCUUCUCUGCUUCCAGUGGACACAAUGUGAACUUAUCUACUCUUC
rnacentral:sRNA from 1 species